UACAGGGGGGGCAAGCGUUGUUCGGAAUUACUGGGCGUAAAGAGCUCGUAGGCGGUUUGGCAAGUCGGAUGUGAAAUCUCCAGGCUCAACCUGGAGGGGUCAUUCGAAACUGCUAUGACUAGAGUUCGGUAGAGGAGUGUGGAAUUCCUGGUGUAGCGGUGAAAUGCGCAGAUAUCAGGAAGAACACCAAUGGCGAAAGCAGCUCUCUGGGACGGUACUGACGCUGAGACGCGAAAGCGUGGGGAGCGAACAGG
rnacentral:rRNA from 1 species